UACGUAGGGGGCAAGCGUUGUCCGGAUUUAUUGGGCGUAAAGAGCGUGUAGGCGGCCAGGUAGGUCUGCUGUGAAAACUCGAGGCUUAACCUCGAGCUGUCGGCGGAAACCAUCUGGCUAGAGUCCGGAAGAGGAGAGUGGAAUUCCCGGUGUAGCGGUGAAAUGCGUAGAUAUCGUAAGGAAGACCAGUGGCGAAGGCGGGUCUCUGGACAGUUCCUGACACUGAGGCACGAAGGCCAGGGGAGCAAACGGG
rnacentral:rRNA from 1 species